AGUGAACGCUGGCGGUAGGCCUAACACAUGCAAGUCGAACGGCAGCACAGUAAGAGCUUGCUCUUACGGGUGGCGAGUGGCGGACGGGUGAGGAAUACAUCGGAAUCUACUUUUUCGUGGGGGAUAACGUAGGGAAACUUACGCUAAUACCGCAUACCACCUACGGGUGAAAGCAGGGGAUCUUCGGACCUUGCGCGAUUGAAUGAGCCGAUGUCGGAUUAGCUAGUUGGCGGGGUAAAGGCCCACCAAGGCGCGGAUCCGUAGCUGGUCUGAGAGGAUGAUCAGCCACACUGGAACUGAGACACGGUCCAGACUCCUACGGGAGGCAGCAGUGGGGAAUAUUGGACAAUGGGCGCAAGCCUGAUCCAGCCAUACCGCGUGGGUGAAGAAGGCCUUCGGGUUGUAAAGCCCUUUUGUUGGGAAAGAAAAGCAGCAGGUUAAUACCCCGCUGUUCUGACGGUACCCAAAGAAUAAGCACCGGCUAACUUCGUG
rnacentral:rRNA from 1 species